AUACAAAUCACCUGGGGAUCUUAUUAAAAUGCAGAUUCUGAAUGAGUAGGUGUGAAGGUGGGAGCUGAGAUUCUGCUUUUCUACAAAACUCCCAGGUGAUGCUCAU
rnacentral:pre_miRNA from 2 species